CUGACAGCGAGGAGGUUUUAACCCAGUCACACAGUAUAGUGGAGAGGGAAGGGUCUCUCAGUCACCCUCAGACUGACAGCGAGGAGGUUUUAACCCAGUCACACAGUAUAGUGGAGAGGGAAGGGUCUCUCAGUCACCCUCAGACUGACAGCGAGGAGGUUUUAACCCAGUCACACAGUAUAGUGGAGAGGGAAGGGUCUCUCAGUCACCCUCAGACUGACAGCGAGGAGGUUUUAACCCAGUCACACAGUAUAGUGGAGAGGGAAGAGUCUCUCAGUCACCCUCACACUGACAGCGAGGAGGUUUUAACCCAGUCACACAGUAUAGUGGAGAGGGAAGAGUCUCUCAGUCACCCCCAGACUGACAGCGAGGAGGUUUUAACCCAGUCACACAGUAUAGUGGAGAGGGAAGGGUCUCUCAGUCACCCUCAGACUGACAGCGAGGAGGUUUUAACCCAGUCACACAGUAUAGUGGAGAGGGAAGAGUCUCUCAGUCACCCUCACACUGACA
ensembl:lncRNA